rnacentral:hammerhead_ribozyme from 1 species
CUUCUACUGAUGAGUCCCAAAUAGGACAAAAUGCGCGUCAAACUGGAU